rnacentral:tRNA from 1 species
GGGGAUCUAGCUCAGCGGGAGAGCACAACGCUGAAGACGUUGGUGUGCCGGGUUCGACUCCCGGGAUCCCCA